UACAUGGGGUGCAAACGUUGCUCGGAAUUAUUGGGCGUAAAGCGCACGUAGGCGGUUUGUUAAGUCGGAUGUGAAAUCCCUCGGCUCAACUGAGGAAGUGCAUCCGAAACUGGCAAGCUUGAGUACGAAAGAGGGUCGCGGAAUUCCCGGUGUAGUGGUGAAAUGCGUAGAUAUCGGGAGGAACACCAGUGGCGAAGGCGACUUCCUGGCCUGUUCUUGACGCUGAGGCGCGAAAGCUAGGGGAGCAAACGGG
rnacentral:rRNA from 1 species